AGUGAACGCUGGCGGUAGGCCUAACACAUGCAAGUCGAACGGCAGCACAGUAAGAGCUUGCUCUUACGGGUGGCGAGUGGCGGACGGGUGAGGAAUACAUCGGAAUCUACUUUUUCGUGGGGGAUAACGUAGGGAAACUUACGCUAAUACCGCAUACGACCUACGGGUGAAAGCAGGGGAUCUUCGGACCUUGCGCGAUUGAAUGAGCCGAUGUCGGAUUAGCUAGUUGGCGGGGUAAAGGCCCACCAAGGCGACGAUCCGUAGCUGGUCUGAGAGGAUGAGCAGCCACACUGGAACUGAGACACGGUCCAGACGCCUACGGGAGGCAGCAGUGGGGAAUAUUGGACAAUGGGCGCAAGCCUGAUCCAGCCAUACCGCGUGGGUGAAGAAGGCCGUCGGGUUGUAAAGCCCUUUUGUUGGGAAAGAAAAGCAGCAGGUUAAUACCCCGCUGUUCUGACGGUACCCAAAGAAUAAGCACCGGCUAACUUCGUGC
rnacentral:rRNA from 1 species